rnacentral:rRNA from 1 species
GACAUAGGUGGCGAACGUUAUCCGGAAUUACUGGGCGUAAAGUGUGCGUGAUGGUGGUUUAAUUAGUUAUCGGUGGGAAUUUGGGGCUCAACCCCACGGAAGUCGAUAAUACUAUUAAACUAGGAGGAUCGGAGAGGUUAACGGAAUUCUAUGUGUAGCGGUAAAAUGCUCAAAUAUAUAGAGGAACACCAAUUGGCGAAGGCAGUUAACUAUUCGACUCCUGACGUUGAGGCACGAAAGCGUGGGGAGCAAGGACGG